ensembl:lncRNA HCG18 HLA complex group 18
UCUCCCCGCGGUAGACUUCAAAUACUCUUUGUCCUGCCCCUGCUUGGCGAAAUUUACCGAAAUUAUCUACCUAUCCCGCUGGAGUGGGAGCCGGGGGAGAGCUGGAACCGCGUCUCUGCUGCUCACCUUUGUGUCCUUAGCUCCUUCGCAUGGGGUCCGACCGCAACACGUGCGCUGGAUAAACGCUUGUUAACUGGAGCUCCCUCUUUGCCCACUAGCAGGGCAUUAGCUGGUGCUGAAGACAGUGGCUGCUUGGCGAGCCUGGAUCUCCAAGUGACCCCCUCAGCAACUCCUGAUGAACAGGACUGAAGCCAAUAUUAAAGCAAGUCAACCAAAGGUUCUCUGGUGUAGACAAGACAGCAAAAGGACAGACUACCUUGUGGAACCUAGCAUUGUUCUCCUUCUGCAGCACUAAGUAACAUUUGUUCUCCGUUAAGAUCUUUGCAAACCACACACAAGAAUUGCUGGUCAUCCUGCCAAUAGAUGCUGCUCACAGAACCAAAUUUCCUGUGCUGAAUUGUCACUCAUGGGCUUGAGAGUAGGAGACUGGAGACCAAGGUGGCUAGAAUCCAGUUGGGCCUGAUGUCUCCCUGUUGAAAGGGCUCCUUGUGGAAUGAAUAGCACAUGGCUCCUGUGGUGGAUCUGAUAGUGGCAUAGCACCAAGUGAUGCAGGCCUGCCAGGGGCCACAGACACAGAAGAUGCUCCCGGGGUCCCCCAUGUACUCCAGACACACUGCAGGCCACCUCUCCCAGCAGGUUGCCAGUCAUGGGCCCCAUCAUCAUGACUUCUGUCCAAGGUGUGCUCGGAAAUCUCUUCCUUAACUGUGACUUUCUGACAGGUGGAGGAUGUGGUCAGGAGUGGGAAAAGGAUUCGAGACGGGAAGAGGGAGGGGUUCAGGAUGAAGAGAGAUAAUCUGUGCCACAGAUGCUGGCCCUGCAGUUAGCUCCCACCUAGUCCGUGCACACACAUUCUAAUCCCCUCCCAUUCCUUUACAUGCUGCGGCCAGAGAGGCCUUUCUCAAAGUGGAAGUCUCAUCCUCACUUCUCUGGUUACAGUGCUGGGCCAUGGUAACUUACAAGGCUUAGCAGGAACUGUCUGCGCACUCCCCCUUCCUGCCCACUACCUUGUUUCCCUCCAGUUGCGAGAGAAAACAUUGAUUGAGCAUUAACUAUGUGCCAGGCUUGUCCUAAGUCCUUUGCAUGUAUUCACUCAAACAAUCCUCACAACAUUCCUAUCACAUCUCCCAUUUCACAGUGAGGGUUCUAAAGCACGUAGUGGGUGAGGAACUUGUCCAGGGUCACACAACUAAGUGGGGGUGGAGAAACAUCAAAUCUAGGUGGUCCAGGUGGUGGCCAGAACCCAUCAGCACCUCACUACAGCUGCCUCCAGUUUCUCGCUCUAGGAAAUACUCUUCCCUGUCAACUCCUGUUGUCCUCUGGGCUCAGUUGACAUGUCAUCUCCUUGAGGAGGACAUCCUGAGAUGCUCCCCGACUAGGGUGGGCACCCACUUCCACACUCCAAAUGCCUAUUUGACCUGUGUAUCGCUGCAUCCCCACUGCCUGGCAGAUAGCAGGCCCCUAAUAAAUAUGAUUUGAGCAAAUAAAUAUAGUUCUUCAAAAAAUAGGGAGGACUUCUUGCUUCAGGUAAUGGUAGGCUAGGACAUUUGGACCAACCCUCCUGCAGAAAAUAGCCAUUUAUUUUGAUGCAAUAUAUCUGGCUAUGACUAGAGAUUUCAAAUAUUUGGAGGGCUAUUAUGUGAAGAACUAAACUUACUCUUUGUGACAUAGAGGUCAGAAAUUGGUCGUUUCCAUAGAGUAUGAGAGAGACAGAAUUGUGCUCAUCAUAAGUAUCUUUUUUAAAAGUUAGACUUAAUAAAAUGGGCUGCCUUGGUAGGUGGUGAGUUCUCUGUCACGAAAGAGAUUCAGCCACUUGCUCUGAGAAAGCAUGGAGAAUAUCAACAUUGUAAGGGUCGACCACCUCAUCUCUGAGGCCCCCUCCUCACUUAGGUUGCCAUUGCAGGUGGAACACUGGGCUGAGUGUCAAAGAACCUGGGUUCCACAAGCUGUGCGACCAUGGCUGGUUGUUUUGGAUCUCAUUCCUAAUAUCUGUUAGUUAAGCUGACCCGUCAAUACUGACCCACUUCACAGAGUUAUGAAGGGAUUAAAUUAGGUAUUACAUGUAAAUCUGUUUUGUUUGCUUUUUGUUGUUCUUUUUUGUUUUGCUUUUUUCUUUGCAUUAUGAAAUCCCAAGUCAACUUUUUCCAUUCUUUUAUUUUUUUAAAAAUUGACAUCAUCAUUAUAACCACAAAAUAAUUUUUAAAAUGGAAAAAAAAAACUCACCUGCAACCCCACAAUCUAAUACAAUAAUCAUACUUUUUUCCCUUUAUUCUCCUUUAUUGUGACCAAGGAUGACUUUGGGCAUUGCUGUGAGGAACUAUUUCGUUUAACACCCUACUACCUGAACAUGAUGCGUACUCAGCCUUUCACCACCCCCCAAGUAGCUACACAUGAUGUGAUAAUAGUAUUGGUGGUGGUUUUAGAGAGUUGGAGAGAAAACUGAAGUUGGAUUUGGGUAAAAGAAAAAAGAGUGGGAAUUAUUUUUUCUCCAUUCUAAAGCCCAUAAAGCAAUGUUAAUUGUUCCCACCCCUCUGCUAUUCUGUCUCCUCAGGUACUGUGUGCAGAAAUGUGAUUGAGAUUCAAGUCAGGGCCUCUCUGCCCUUUUCCCUCCAGAAACAAAACCAAGAUAAUUUAUCCUGAACACGGUGAAAAAAGGAAGGGAGGGAGGAGAAAAAGUCCGGGUCUCACCUGGGAUUCUCUGUCUCCUGCAACAUGAAGGAUUUAGCCUGGGAGGAGGUGGUGAGAACUCUGGGAGAGAAAAAAGAAGGAAAGAAUAGUUUUACCCAUGCUGAAGUUAAUUUAAACCUUCACCUAGAGAAGCAAAAAAAAAAAACCCACACUUUCCCAUUUUGUGCCUCCCUUCCUAGAGUUUUAGCCAAAGGUUUAGCUAAGUAAUUGGUUUUACCAGCGCACUCACUCCUCCUAUCCCAAGUCUGUUUGACUCCCUCCCCAUCAUCCUCCUCACCUCUUUUCAGGCAGGGUGGGGAUAGCAGCAGGAGGAGAUUUUGGGAGCCUGGCAACUCCUGCAAGGACCGCAGGACAGCCCCUCUGUGGGGAUGCGUGGUGCCCCAUCUGCCGCCCUUCUGAAGAAUGCACUGCCUUCACUUUUUACUGUGUUAGAGUCCAUCCAGACUGUUCUAUCCAAAAAAGUUUCUUUUUCCCCCACAGGCAAUCAGGAAAUGAUUCCUUUCCCGACUGCUUCUGUCUAGUGCCUGGGAAUCUUGAGUCAAUCCCUCAGUAAGUCAGUGACUAGGGAAAUCCCUCUCUGAGCCUCCCAGUUCAUGUUGCUUAGGGAACCUGAUAUUUUCGUGAAACCUGCCUACACAUGGGCAGCCCAACAGCAGAACAAAUGGUGGUGACCAAAGUGAACAAAGAAGUAUAGUUGUGCCAGCUUCGUAGUUGCCCAUGUGGACAAGUCAGCAGGAUCAGGACACGAGGAAGAGUAAAUGUGAGACAGUCAAUGUGACUUCUGCGAUAAACAGAUUUUUAAACCCCGAAAUUUUGCAAAAUUUUGGUGAAACCUGAACUUUCUUCGUUGCAUAUACUGGCACUAUCUGUACCAUCAUACAACUGUCUCACAUUAAAGCUAUUUUUCUUGGGCACUGAUGAGUAAGGUUGGUAUAAGUUCCUCAGAUCAACAAAAACCCAUUUUCCUGUAAGUCUUACAUUUAGUAUUUAAGGAACUAAAACUUAAAUACAUUUUGUGAAAUGGUUGACACUUCACUGAUAAUGAUUUAUUGCUUGGAUUAAUAAAUUUUCCAAAAGUUGUCUUAUGUAGAAUAUGGUUUGCAACCAGCAGAACCAUUAAUCUAUACUGCAAUGAUAUGCACUAUGUAUAAUUGUUUAAAAGCCUCUACUUAAUGAUGUAAAAUGCUCUAUUUAAUUACACAUUUGGGUAAACUGUAUACUAACAUCUGAUGGCAUUUUUCCACUGUUUGUUGCUUUUUUCAAAUACUUUAUUGUACAAAGCUGUUCUUAAUAUUUUUCAAGUUUUUUUCUUUGAAUUUUGCUAAUGUUUUCCUUGAAUUAUGAGCACUGACAGAAUGUGCUUAGCACUUUUGGCUAUUCACACAGCUUUUGAGCAUGAUUUGCAUCCAAUAUUUACAUUGCUAGCAAUAAUAAGCCAUCUGUGAGUUUUGUCAAAA